rnacentral:tRNA from 1 species
AGGGAUGUAGCGCUCCUUGGCAGCGCCUUUUUUGGGGUACAAAAUGUCACGGGUCCCAAUCCUGUCAUUCCUA